GCCACCAGCGAUAGCUCAGUCGGUAGAACUGAGAGACCCUUGAUCUCAGGGUCAAGGGUUCGAGACCCGUGUUGGGCA